rnacentral:lncRNA from 1 species
GAUGCAAUUCCUCCAACUAGCUUGGUAGCAUACAGACUGAGAUGGUAAAAUUCUACACAUAGUUUUGUUGUUUUUUGUUUCUCUUUAUCCUUUUAUUUUCUCAUCCUUUUGGGGAGCGUGGAGGAAUAGAAGGAGAAGUCGAAGAGAGAGGUAAAUAUUUUUGUUUGUUUUUAUGUAUGUUGCAGGUAAUUACCUAGCCCACCACUUAUGAUUGACCCUUUCAGGGUUAGUUAGACUGCACAGAAUUUUACAACUUGAAGGUUUAAAAGACAGGAAGAGAAGGGUUUUUUGUUGUUGUUGUUUUUAUUUUACUUUUUUUAAGAUUCAAUAAUACUUACCUAGCUUUGAAAUUCACUUAUGAAGCUUAGUUUGGCCAGAUGUGAAAUUCUGGGUUGGAAUUUUUUUUCUUUAGAAUAUUGAAUAUUGGCCUCCCAUCUCUUCAGGCUUGUAGGAUUUCCAAUGAAAGAUGCGCUAUUAGUCUGAUGGUCUUUCCUCUGUAGGUCACCUUGAUUUCUGAGAUUUUGGUGCACCCAUCACCCAAGCAGUGUACACUGUACCCAAUGUGUAGUCUUUUAUCUCUCACCCCCCUCCCACCUUUUCCCCCAAGUCCCCGAAGUCCACUGUAUCAUUCUUAUGUCUUAUGUGAGUGUGUAUGUGCAUACGUAUGUGUAUAGGCAUGUCCUACAGCACUUUGUUCAUGACCAAUUGGUUCCAGCAUUUUUUUUCUCCAAAUUUUAGGUAAGAGACAAAAGACCAGUUGGGAUGGCACAGACAUUGUUCUUCCUCUUAGGGUUCCCCAUUGGUUGUUUAAAUGGAGAUUACAGUGGGCCCCUAACCAAUGUCAUGAUUUCAUGUCUCUUUGCUCUCAGAGAGGUUUGGUAAUCCUUGAUUUGAAAGUGGUACUAUUUAUAGUACUAUUCAUAUCCGGAGUAAGGAGAGUCAUAAGAUGCUGAGGAUUUGGGGGGAAAAUGAGCAAACAAAAAAGCAAGAAACAAAGUUCAGAUGUACAUAUUAGAAAUUCUCUGGGUUCUGUCUCUGAAAGAAAAAGGAAACUUAUCUUUAAUAACCUGUAAAAGGAAAAAAUUAAAAGAACCAAAGUUCUUGGCCCAAUAGCCUCCUUGCUCUACCAUCCACAGGGCUCUAUUUGAAGUUGUAACAGCCCAUGUGUGGAGUAGAUAAUGUCACUAUCCAUGAGAAAACAGCAAUGGGCUGGCUUCACACACGCUUCAGACUCCUGUAACCAGGCAAUAUAUAAGCAGGUUGUGCAAGUGAAAGAUUGGUGAAUCCCGACAGCAGAGACUGCUUUUCCCCUUUAGUGACUAAAACCAGAUGGAAUAAUCCUCACAUAAAAAGCAGCCAGAAAUUCUGUACCAAUUGCCUGAAUCCCAAUCAGUUGUUUUUUUUUUUCUCAUGGUUAUGGUGUGUUUCAUUCCAAUUUCAAAUCUAAUCUCUUUUGGUUACUGACCAAAACUAGGUGACUCCUCUGAACUCCUGGUCUGUAGCAAAUGAGGGAAGAUGUCCUCACUGAAAGCCCAUUUUCCCUCCUAUCAGCAGUUGUUAAACUGUCUCUUAUUACAUUCUAUUAGUUACUGCAGAAUGUAUGUCAGUUCCUAGGUUAGUUUCCACAAAACUCAUCUCCCCAGAGAUUUUCAAGUAUAAAUUCCAGCAAUCAUUAAUUCAAUUUACAGUUUAUGGAAGUGAGGCAUUUAAAA